rnacentral:lncRNA from 1 species
GCCAUUGAAGGGUUCAAAGACAGCAGACACACUUCACCACACUGGAAGCUCCCACAUAUAGAAAGCAAGGUGAUGACUCAGUCGGUCGAGUGCUUACCACACAAACAUGAAAACCUGGGUCUGGAUUCCCAAAACCUGUGCAAAGGGAAGGGGUGUGUGCCACCGCGUAUGUGGAGGUCAAGGAACAAGUUUCUGUAGCUGGUCCUCUCAUUCCACCAUGUGGAUCCCAGGCUGACCGGCACACCCACAGUGAUGCACACCCACAGUGAUGCACACCCACAGUGACGCCGUACCUUACCUGAUCAAGGAAGAAACUAACAUCUGAACCAGCAGUUCUCAAUCUGUGGGUCACAACCCUUUUGGCGAACCUCUGUCUCCGAAACUAUUUACAUUAUGAUUUAUAACAGUAGCAAAAUUACAGUUAUGAAGUAGCAGUGAAGAUACUUUUAUGGUUGGGGGGAGGGGUCCCUACAACAUGAGGAGCUGUAUUAAAGGGUCGCAGCUUUAGGAAG